CGUAGGGUGCAGGCGUUAAUCGGAAUUACUGGGCGUAAAGCGUGCGCAGGCGGCUUCCUAAGUCAGAUGUGAAAUCCCCGGGCUCAACCUGGGAACUGCGUUUGAAACUGGGAGGCUAGAGUGCGGCAGAGGGGGGUGGAAUUCCACGUGUAGCAGUGAAAUGCGUAGAUAUGUGGAGGAACACCGAUGGCGAAGGCAGCCCCCUGGGCCAGCACUGACGCUCAUGCACGAAAGCGUGGGGAGCAAACAGGAUUAGAUACCCUGGUAGUCCACGCCCUAAACGAUGUCGACUAGUUUGUUGGGGGAGUCUGUCCCUCAGUAACGUAGCUAACGCGUGAAGUCGACCGCCUGGGGAGUACGGUCGCAAGAUUA
rnacentral:rRNA from 1 species